CACGUAGGGCGCGAGCGUUGUCCGGAAUUAUUGGGCGUAAAGAGCUCGUAGGCGGCUUGUCACGUCGGGUGUGAAAGCCCGGGGCUUAACCCCGGGUCUGCAUUCGAUACGGGCUGGCUAGAGUGUGGUAGGGGAGAUCGGAAUUCCUGGUGUAGCGGUGAAAUGCGCAGAUAUCAGGAGGAACACCGGUGGCGAAGGCGGAUCUCUGGGCCAUUACUGACGCUGAGGAGCGAAAGCGUGGGGAGCGAACAGG
rnacentral:rRNA from 1 species